rnacentral:rRNA from 1 species
UGGGGAAUUUUGGACAAUUGGGCGAAAGCCUGAUCCGGCAAUGCCGCGUGUGUGAAGAAGGCCUUCGGGUUGUAAAGCACUUUUGUCCGGAAAGAAAUCCUUGGCUCUAAUACAGUCGGGGGAUGACGGUACCGGAAGAAUAAGCACCGGCUAACUACGUGCCAGCAGCCGCGGUAAUACGUAGGGUGCAAGCGUUAAUCGGAAUUACUGGGCGUAAAGCGUGCGCAGGCGGUUUGCUAAGACCGAUGUGAAAUCCCCGGGCUCAACCUGGGAACUGCAUUGGUGACUGGCAGGCUAGAGUAUGGCAGAGGGGGGUAGAAUUCCACGUGUAGCAGUGAAAUGCGUAGAGAUGUGGAGGAAUACCGAUGGCGAAGGCAGCCCCCUGGGCCAAUACUGACGCUCAUGCACGAAAGCGUGGGGAGCAAACAGGAUUAGAUACCCUGGUAGUCCACGCCCCUAAANGAUGUCAACUAGUUGUUGGGGAUUCAUUUCCUUAGUAACGUAGCUAACGCGUGAAGUUGACCGCCUGGGGAGUACGGUCGCAAGAUUAAAACUCAAAUGAAUUG